rnacentral:rRNA from 1 species
UACGUAGGGGGCUAGCGUUGUCCGGAAUCAUUGGGCGUAAAGAGCGUGUAGGCGGCCCGGUAAGUCCGCUGUAAAAGUCAAAGGCUACAACCGUUUGAAUGUCCAGUGGAUACUGCCGGGCUAGGAGUCCGGAAGAGGCGAGUGGGAACUCCUGGAUGUAGCGGUGGAAUGACGCAGAUAUCAGGAAGAACACCAAGCGGCGAAGGCAGGCUCGCUGGGACGGUACUGACGCUGAGAAGCGAAAGCAUGGGGAGCGAACAGG